AUACCUUUCUCGACCUUUUGGCUAAGAUCAAGUGUAGUAUUUGUUCUUAUCAGUUUAAUAUUUGAUAUGUGGGUCAUUGGUCCACCCGAUAUUAACUCAAUUUUUUUAAGGGGGAGAAUUUACUAAGGUAGCUUGCUACUUGGGCUCUCGCAUGUUGUCCAUGCGUUGCACUACUGCACAGGCCUGGCGCACCCCUC
rnacentral:snRNA from 1 species